rnacentral:rRNA from 1 species
UUGGAGGGCAAGUCUGGUGCCAGCAGCCGCGGUAAUUCCAGCUCCAAUAGCGUAUAUUAAAGUUGUUGCAGUUAAAAAGCUCGUAGUUGAAUUUCGGGAUCGAUGGGUCGGUCAUGCCCUCGGUAUGUACUGAUCCCACUGGUCCUCACCUUCUAAGGAACCAUGAUGUCAUUCAUUUGAUGUUGUGGGGAAUUAGGACUGUUACCUUGAAAAAAUUAGAGUGUUUAAAGCAGGCUAACGCUUGAAUACAUUAGCAUGGAAUAAUAAAAUAGGACGGCAUGGUUCUAUUUUGUUGGUUUCUAGGAUCACCGUAAUGAUUAAUAGGGAUAGUUGGGGGCAUUAGUAUUCAAUUGUCAGAGGUGAAAUUCUUGGAUUUAUUGAAGACUAACUUCUGCGAAAGCAUUUGCCAAGGAUGUUUUCAUUAAUCAAGAACGAAAGUUAGGGGAUCGAAGACGAUCAGAUACCGUCGUAGUCUUAACCAUAAACUAUGCCGACUAGGGAUCGGACGAUGUUAAUUUUUUAAUGACUCGUUCGGCGCCUUACGGGAAAC